rnacentral:rRNA from 1 species
CGUCUAGGCGGAUCGGCAAGUCGGCUGUGAAAUCCCUCGGCUCAACCGAGGAACGGCAUCCGAUACUGUCGGUCUUGAGGACGAGAGGGGAGAGUGGAACUCCUGGUGGAGCGGUGAAAUGCGUAGAUAUCAGGAGGAACGCCGGUGGCGAAAGCGACUCUCUGGCUCGUUCCUGACGCUGAAGCGCGAAAGCUAGGGGAGCGAACG